rnacentral:lncRNA from 1 species
UAGGCGGACUUUUUCCCCUCUUUCUUUCGCAAACAAAUCCUACAAUAUCCCCCCCCCCCAAAAUCGUCUCUCAAUUUUAAGCUUUCUUGCAGAUAUAUUGCAUCUCUGUCACUGUAUCAACGUCGAUCGGCGGUGUUAAAUCUUUGCUGGACUUAUCACUGUUUUUGUUAUUCUAUAUUUUGAUUUUUUAGGAACAUUUGUUUAAUUAAAUUCGACUUUAAUUGCAGUGAGAAAAUUUGAAAUUCGCCAGUUCCUUUGUGGACUAAGCGUGUUGUGAAUAACUUGGCAGGUAUGUUGUAAACGUUUGUAAAUAGAAAAUUUUCAUAAUUCCCAUGCAGGUGUAUUCACAGUAGCCAAUUUACACUAUUUUUUUUCUCAGUUUGCUAAUGAAUGAUAGUAUACAUGACCUUUUACUAUUAUGCUUAGAGUGUCUUUCAAUUGUAUAUUAGCUCUUUGUUUGCCUGAUACUGUAAAUUGUAUUGUCAUUUGAGUAAAAAAGUAAAAUCACUAGUAUCAAUUUGACUCUGCUUUAUCAAUGUGUGUGCGUGUGUUAUAUGUAUAUAAAAUUUGUUUCCAACUAAUUUCAUUUCCGUUUUGUGAGUUCCUUUGAAUUAUGUUUUGUAUCUGCUUCACGCAGUUUACGAGGGUAUUUUGUCGAGUUCCUUAGAGUUGUCUCGCGCUCUUAGUAUUCUCUUUCUCUACCUGCUUGAUUGGCCCUCGGGUUUUUAGUUGUGCUCCGGAGCAUUACGACAAUGGCUACUACCUAUACGAACCCAAAAAGGAAAAGAACGGGUUAAAAUACAACUUUUAUCUCAGUCUUGUCUUGCGACAAAUGUUUUCCUAAUGCCUUUUGUUCUCAGAAGGUUUCAUUUGCACCUGGACAAUGUCAACCCCAAAUUUUGAUCACCUAACUGUUUCACAUUAUCUUGAUCAUUGUAGAAUUGUCCAGCACUUGUACCUUAAAUUCAUACAUCAAACUUUUUUUUAAUGAAUUAUUCUUACUUCAUUAAUUGGUGGAUUAGACAAAUCUAUUACUAUCGCUAUAGCAAACUAGUCUAGAUUUAAUAGAUUAUUUCUAUACUAAUGCAUUAGCCUUGACUUUGUUAUCCUUUAUUUCGUCAUUGUGCAAGCUUUGUUUGCGAAAUAUAUAGGAGUAACUGUAAAAUUUUGUGAUGGUUGGUGCAAAUGACCAUAAAAUUCUGCAUAAGUCUAUAGCUGAGCACUAAAUCUGUAGUAUCCUUUCUACAUGCACCUUCUAAGCAUAAUCAAUGCGAUGAAAUUUGGUAAUUCGGCAAUGUUUGUAAUCAUAAAAUUUUAUAAUGGUUGGUUCCACUUGUAAUUCGAAAAUAUUUACAAGAGGAACCAUAUGUGCUACCAAAGACAUCAAUAUAAUUUAUAACUCCGGCCCAUAGUAUGAACAUCAAGAAACUAUUGAUAGCCAACAGGCAUUGCGACAAGAUUUCUCAUUUGCUAACAAGGCCAUAAACUAUUUAGUUGUGUAAAACUCUUGUAGAUAUAGUUUUAGAAUCUUUUUUGUUCGAUGUUCUUUCAGUUGUUGGAAUUUCAUCACUGUACAUAUUAAUUUCAAUAGGAUUUUAAAACUUUGUUAAAAAAAAUUCAUGUAAAAGAAUGAAUUGAUUGGAGCCUGUGAUCCCUUUGAGGAUUCUGCAAUCUCAUUAUCUUACAAAAUUUGGUCAUACAAGAAUGUUUAAGGAGAUUUUGGUAAAGAUACUUUAAGUAGAAAAUAUUAUAUUAUAUCUUAAAUUAAAUUCCAUAUAUAAUUCAAUUGUUUUUUUUUUCUGUUUUGGCAUUGAUUUUACUUUAUUGAAAAUCCGCAGGCCAACUUGUGAAAUCAGAGCAACUUGAAGACAAUGUCAUGAGGAAAAGGAGA